rnacentral:rRNA from 1 species
GACGAACGCUGGCGGCGUGCUUAACACAUGCAAGUCGAACGGUAAGGCCCUUCGGGGUACACGAGUGGCGAACGGGUGAGUAACACGUGGGUGAUCUGCCCUGCACUUCGGGAUAAGCCUGGGAAACUGGGUCUAAUACCGGAUAGGACUCCUGCCUGCAUGGGUGGGGGUGGAAAGCUUUUGCGGUGUGGGAUGGGCCCGCGGCCUAUCAGCUUGUUGGUGGGGUGAUGGCCUACCAAGGCGACGACGGGUAGCCGGCCUGAGAGGGUGACCGGCCACACUAGGACUGAGAUACGGCCCGGACUCCUACGGGAGGCAGCAGUGGGGAAUAUUGCACAAUGGGCGCAAGCCUGAUGCAGCGACGCCGCGUGAGGGAUGACGGCCUUCGGGUUGUAAACCUCUUUCAGCACAGACGAAGCGCAAGUGACGGUAUGUGCAGAAGAAGGACCGGCCAACUACGUGCCAGCAGCCGCCGCUG